AGCAAAGCGUGGUUUCCUCGCCCCGAGGUUUUGACUGCACAGUGAUUUCCUUGGGAGCUGAGGGGAAGAAGCAGACCUACCAGUUCUUUGAUGGAGAGCAGUGCUAACAACCCAUAUAAGCUCACCUUAUUACUUCGUAAUGUAAUGCCAGGUUUACUGGCAAGAUUAUUAUUGGCCCAAGCAAGGUGGAAAAGGCAAAAGAUCCCCCACUCCUGAAAUGGGCACACAAGCACUGGUCUAUAUAUUAAUACCCUGUUUUGUUUUGCUGCAAACCAAACACCUUGUCUUAAUAAAGCAAGUGUGUGUGUCAUCUUAUGCGUAAAGGCUAGUGAGAUAUCACAAAAGCAGGAUAAAGUAAUGAUAAUCUUUCCCCACUUUUGGAACACCAUGAGAAAAAGAGACAAAUGAAGAGCUCACAAAAGAGAGUUCCAAAGCUCUGGGGUAUCUAUUGAGAAAGCCCUGCUUCUUAUGCAGACCAAUCAGCUUUUACAUGAGAUGGAUCGUGAAACAGGGCUUCAGCAGCAGAUCUUCAGCCAGGAACAUUCAUAUAGGAGAAGGAAG